rnacentral:rRNA from 1 species
CGAUGCACGCAAAAACCUUACCCACCUUUGACAUGUACGGAAUUUGCCAGAGAUGGCUUAGUGCUCGAAAGAGAGCCGUAACACAGGUGCUGCAUGGCUGUCGUCAGCUCGUGUCGUGAGAUGUUGGGUUAAGUCCCGCAACGAGCGCAACCCUUGUCAUUAGUUGCUACGAAAGGGCACUCUAAUGAGACUGCCGGUGACAAACCGGAGGAAGGUGGGGAUGACGUCAAGUCCUCAUGGCCCUUAUAGGUGGGGCUACACACGUCAUACAAUGGCCGGUACAAAGGGUCGCAAACCCGCGAGGGGGAGCUAAUCCAUCAAAGCCGGUCGUAGUCCGGAUCGCAGUCUGCAACUCGACUGCGUGAAGUCGGAAUCGCUAGUAAUCGUGGAUCAGCAUGUCACGGUGAAUACGUUCCCGGGUCUUGUACACACCGCCCGUCACACCAUGGGAGCGGGUCUCGCCAGAAGUAGUUAGCCUAACCGCAAGGAGGGCGAUUACCACGGCGGGUUUCGUGACUGGGGUGAAGUCGUAACAAGCCAGCCGUAA